rnacentral:lncRNA from 1 species
AAAAAAACCCUGAUCAGUUGUGGGACUAUAUUCAAGCCAGUCAUAACCUUUAUCUUCUAUAGGACAGCAGCCACCCGGAGACACUCAUCAACCUCAUUGUGUUGACACAGCAUUUGGGCAAACCUCCUGAGGUGACAAAUCGAUACAUGUCUCAACUGAAAGAUGCACACAAGUCACAUCCAUUUAUUAAGGAAUAUAUUGCUAAGGAGAAUGAAUUUGACAGGCUUGCCAUGCAGUACGCCCCCAGCGCCUGAAGAACUAGUUUGAAUUUGUCUCCUAAAAUGCAACACAUUAUUUUUCCUCUUUACACUUUUUUUUUUUAAAUGCCUUUAAACAAAAUAACAUUAAUCUGUUUGAGAUUUGUUUGCUCUGUCUUUUUGAUAUGCCCAAAAGCUCUACAAACAUUCCUGUAUGAUGGUUAAAUAAAUGUUUAUCAUACAUAGUGUUUUUAUGGUAAUGAAUAUUCAUAUUGUGAUUUUAAAAAAAGUGCAAAAGCUGUGUGAAAUGUCUUCAUAACACAUCAGUUCACCAUACUGAUUGUCAGUUCAUACAAAAUAAUAAUAUGGGGUAUCUUUAGACCAUAAACAAUAAAUUAUUCUUAAUUGAAUGUACUUAUAAUCAGCAUUGUGUAAUGUCACAGUAUUGAUAUAAAUGAAAGUUACUGUAAAAAGUGUUGCCCUAUACAGACGUGUAACCUCUUAUCAUCAAAUGCUCCAAACUAUUGUUUUGUUUUAACUAGAUUUGAGAUUACAAAACAGUAACGGACAGCUCAUUUCUCAUGUUCUUUCUUUGGGAGCUUGUAUAGCACAGACGCCUUUAAAUGACAGUUUUUCACAAUUGCCAAGGCAUUUCCUGAAACCUUUACCCUAUUUAUCAC